rnacentral:rRNA from 1 species
AUUGAACGCUGGCGGCAUGCCUUACACAUGCAAGUCGAACGGUAACAGGUCUUCGGAUGCUGACGAGUGGCGAACGGGUGAGUAAUAUAUCGGAACGUGCCCAGUCGUGGGGGAUAACGCAGCGAAAGCUGUGCUAAUACCGCAUACGAUCUAUGGAUGAAAGCGGGGGAUCGCAAGACCUCGCGCGAUUGGAGCGGCCGAUAUCAGAUUAGGUAGUUGGUGGGGUAAAGGCCCACCAAGCCAACGAUCUGUAGCUGGUCUGAGAGGACGACCAGCCACACUGGAACUGAGACACGGUCCAGACUCCUACGGGAGGCAGCAGUGGGGAAUUUUGGACAAUGGGCGCAAGCCUGAUCCAGCAAUGCCGCGUGCAGGAUGAAGGCCUUCGGGUUGUAAACUGCUUUUGUACGGUAACGAAAAGGACUCUGGUUAAUACCUGGGCUCAUGACGGUACCGUAAGAAUAAGACACCGGCUAACUACGUCGCCAGACCG